UGAACGAGCCAGUGAAUACCCCUCGAUCAAGUCGCCGCCGCUGUAGUCCAGAGCUCCGCCGCCGUCGCCGCCGUCGCCGCCGCCACACUUCUCGGACGCCACGCCGCCGACGUGCAAAAGAGGACUGCAGAGCCACGCGUCGCUGUAGCCUCGCGCCACCCCGCACGCUCGCGCGAACCGCCUCGCUUCUCACUCAGUGCCGCACUAUCUCAUCUCUGCUCAAGCACGCGCACAUGCUGCCGAGUUGCCCGACGGCGCCACGACGAUGCUACGCUGGAAGAUUCGCAUCGGCAGGUUCAUUCGCAUCCGCUGGAACCGCCUCAGCUGUUUUGAUUCCUGUUGCUUUCUAGGAGCAGCCAUCUUCUUCUUCAUGAGCUACAGAAAGGACACUAUAACUACGGACACGUGUACGAGGAGGAGUUUCAAGGUGAAGACGACCCUCGGUCGGAAGACCAUAACGAUUGCGGGAUAGUAGGCAAG